rnacentral:lncRNA from 1 species
CCCUGACUCUGAGGCAGUCGUCGAGGUUUCCGCAGAGACGCAUCACACGUGCACUACGCGCACUAGGUCAUUGCUCCUCUCCCGUUUAAAAGCAACAUUGGUUACACCGGCACUUGUCCGAGGCUCGCUCAACCAAACCAAGGAAAGAAAUUUUGACUGUAUCCUUCCAAACCAAAUAAUAAUUGAAACUUGGAACGAAAGUUACCUCAUAUAAAAAAAGAAUGACGAUGUAUAAGGUAGGUCCAGACACAGUCUCACGAAGGACGAGUUACGAAAGUGUACGCCUUAAAUUUCAUCUUUAAGGGAAAAAAAUAUUAGAGUUUUUUGUUUUUGUAA